rnacentral:rRNA from 1 species
CCUACGGGCGGCAGCAGUGAGGAAUAUUGGUCAAUGGGCGGGAGCCUGAACCAGCCAAGUCGCGUGAGGGAAGAAGGUACUGAGUAUUGUAAACCUCUUUUGCCAGGGGACAAAGGCGGCCACGGGUGGCCGUAAGAGGGUACCUGGAGAAAAAGCAUCGGCUAACUCCGUGCCAGCAGCCGCGGUAAUACGGAGGAUUCAAGCGUUAUCCGGAUUUAUUGGGUUUAAAGGGUGCGUAGGCGGUUCGAUAAGUUAGAGGUGAAAUCCCGGGGCUCAACUCCGGCACUGCCUCUGAUACUGUCGGGCUAGAGUUUAGUUGCGGUAGGCGGAAUGUAUGGUGUAGCGGUGAAAUGCAUAGAGAUCAUACAGAACACCGAUUGCGAAGGCAGCUUACCAAACUACGACUGACGUUGAGGCACGAAAGCGUGGGGAGCAAACAGGAUUAGAUACCCCUGUAGUC